GUCUAUGGCCAUGCCACCCUGAACAAGCCCGAUGUCUGAUCUCAGAAGCUAAGCGGGGUCGGGCCUGGUUAGUACUUGGAUGGGAGACCACCUAGGAAGACCAGGUGCUAUGGGCA
rnacentral:rRNA from 1 species